AUCGCUCCCUCGAUAGUUAGCGGCGGACGGGUGAGUAACACGUGGGUAACCUGCCUGUAAGACUGGGAUAACUCCGGGAAACCGGGGCUAAUACCGGAUGGUUGUUUGAACCGCAUGGUUCAAACAUAAAAGGUGGCUUCGGCUACCACUUACAGAUGGACCCGCGGCGCAUUAGCUAGUUGGUGAGGUAACGGCUCACCAAGGCAACGAUGCGUAGCCGACCUGAGAGGGUGAUCGGCCACACUGGGACUGAGACACGGCCCAGACUCCUACGGGAGGCAGCAGUAGGGAAUCUUCCGCAAUGGACGAAAGUCUGACGGAGCAACGCCGCGUGAGUGAUGAAGGUUUUCGGAUCGUAAAGCUCUGUUGUUAGGGAAGAACAAGUACCGUUCGAAUAGGGCGGUACCUUGACGGUACCUAACCAGAAAGCCACGGCUAACUACGUGCCAGCAGCCGCGGUAAUACGUAGGUGGCAAGCGUUGUCCGGAAUUAUUGGGCGUAAAGGGCUCGCAGGCGGUUUCUUAAGUCUGAUGUGAAAGCCCCCGGCUCAACCGGGGAGGGUCAUUGGAAACUGGGGAACUUGAGUGCAGAAGAGGAGAGUGGAAUUCCACGUGUAGCGGUGAAAUGCGUAGAGAUGUGGAGGAACACCAGUGGCGAAAGCGACUCUCUGGUCUGUAACUGACGCUGAGGAGCGAAAGCGUGGGGAGCGAACAGGAUUAGAUACCCUGGUAGUCCACGCCGUAAACGAUGAGUGCUAAGUGUUAGGGGUUUCCGCCCCUUAGUGCUGCAGCUAACGCAUUAAGCACUCCGCCUGGGGAGUACGGU
rnacentral:rRNA from 1 species